GGCUCAGAUUGAACGCUAGCGGCAUGCCUUACACAUGCAAGUCGAACGGCAGCGCGGACUUCGGUCUGGCGGCGAGUGGCGAACGGGUGAGUAAUGCAUCGGAACGUGCCCAGUAGCGGGGGAUAACUACGCGAAAGCGUAGCUAAUACCGCAUACGCCCUACGGGGGAAAGGGGGGGAUCGCAAGACCUCUCACUAUUGGAGCGGCCGAUGUCGGAUUAGCUAGUUGGUGGGGUAAAGGCCUACCAAGGCGACGAUCCGUAGCUGGUUUGAGAGGACGACCAGCCACACUGGGACUGAGACACGGCCCAGACUCCUACGGGAGGCAGCAGUGGGGAAUUUUGGACAAUGGGGGCAACCCUGAUCCAGCCAUGCCGCGUGUGCGAAGAAGGCCUUCGGGUUGUAAAGCACUUUUGGCAGGAAAGAAACGGCGCCGGAUAAUACCUGGCGUAACUGACGGUACCUGCAGAAUAAGCACCGGCUAACUACGUGCCAGCAGCCGCGGUAAUACGUAGGGUGCAAGCGUUAAUCGGAAUUACUGGGCGUAAAGCGUGCGCAGGCGGUUCGGAAAGAAAGAUGUGAAAUCCCAGGGCUCAACCUUGGAACUGCAUUUUUAACUCCCGAACUAGAGUAUGUCAGAGGGGGGUGGAAUUCCACGUGUAGCAGUGAAAUGCGUAGAUAUGUGGAGGAACACCGAUGGCGAAGGCAGCCCCCUGGGAUAAUACUGACGCUCAUGCACGAAAGCGUGGGGAGCAAACAGGAUUAGAUACCCUGGUAGUCCACGCCCUAAACGAUGUCAACUAGCUGUUGGGUUCUUCGGAGCUUGGUAGCGCAGCUAACGCGUGAAGUUGACCGCCUGGGGAGUACGGUCGCAAGAUUAAAACUCAAAGGAAUUGACGGGGACCCGCACAAGCGGUGGAUGAUGUGGAUUAAUUCGAUGCAACGCGAAAAACCUUACCUACCCUUGACAUGUCUGGAAUCCUGAAGAGAUUUAGGAGUGCUCGAAAGAGAACCGGAACACAGGUGCUGCAUGGCCGUCGUCAGCUCGUGUCGUGAGAUGUUGGGUUAAGUCCCGCAACGAGCGCAACCCUUGUCAUUAGUUGCUACGAAAGGGCACUCUAAUGAGACUGCCGGUGACAAACCGGAGGAAGGUGGGGAGACGUCAGGUCCUCAUGGCCCUUAUGGGUAGGGCUUCACACGUCAUACAAUGGUCGGGACAGAGGGCAGCCAACCCGCGAGGGGGAGCCAAUCCCAGAAACCCGAUCGUAGUCCGGAUUGCAGUCUGCAACUCGACUGCAUGAAGUCGGAAUCGCUAGUAAUCGCGGAUCAGCAUGUCGCGGUGAAUACGUUCCCGGGUCUUGUACACACCGCCCGUCACACCAUGGGAGUGGGUUCUACCAGAAGUAGGUAGCCUAACCGUAAGGAGGGCGCUUACCACGGUAGGGUUCAUGACUGGGGUGAAGU
rnacentral:rRNA from 1 species